rnacentral:rRNA from 1 species
UGGGGAAUCUUGCGCAAUGGGCGAAAGCCUGACGCAGCAACGCCGCGUGGGGGACGAAGGCUCUCGGGUUGUAAACCCCUUUCAGGAGGGACGAAAUUGACGGUACCUCCAGAAGAAGCCCCGGCCAACUACGUGCCAGCAGCCGCGGUAACACGUAGGGGGCGAGCGUUGUCCGGAUUUAUUGGGCGUAAAGAGCUCGUAGGUGGCUCGGUAAGUCGGGUGUGAAAUUUCGAGGCUCAACCUCGAGACGCCACCUGAUACUGCUGUGGCUAGAGUCCGGUAGGGGAGCGUGGAAUUCCUGGUGUAGCGGUGAAAUGCGCAGAUAUCAGGAGGAACACCAGCGGCGAAGGCGGCGCUCUGGGCCGGUACUGACACUGAGGAGCGAAAGCGUGGGGAUCAAACAGG